rnacentral:ncRNA from 2 species
CUAUCAUCGCCGCCUUCAGGUGCCCGUGACCGCCAGGUUUCGGGAGAAUCGGGAAGGCGGUGCAAGUCCGCCACGUGCCCAACGCUGUAAGGAUGAUGAACCAUGUGUAUGCCACUGGCGCAAGCUGGGAAGGCGCAGGAUUCAAGCGACUCCAAGUCAGAAGACCGGCCUGAAACAUCACACGCUG